GCUCAGGAUGAACGCUGGCGGCGUGCUUAACACAUGCAAGUCGAACGAUGAAGCCCUUUCGGGGGUGGAUUAGUGGCGAACGGGUGAGUAACACGUGAGCAACCUGCCCUUGACUCUGGGAUAAGCCUGGGAAACUGGGUCUAAUACCGGAUAGGACUCCUCAUCGCAUGGUGGGGGGUGGAAAGCCUUGUGCGGUCUUGGAUGGGCUCGCGGCCUAUCAGCUUGUUGGUGGGGUGAUGGCCUACCAAGGCGACGACGGGUAGCCGGCCUGAGAGGGUGACCGGCCACACUGGGACUGAGACACGGCCCAGACUCCUACGGGAGGCAGCAGUGGGGAAUAUUGCACAAUGGGCGGAAGCCUGAUGCAGCGACGCCGCGUGGGGGAUGACGGCCUUCGGGUUGUAAACCCCUUUCAGCAGGGAAGAAGGGUGACUGACGGUACCUGCAGAAGAAGCGCCGGCUAACUACGUGCCAGCAGCCGCGGUAAUACGUAGGGCGCGAGCGUUAUCCGGAAUUAUUGGGCGUAAAGAGCUCGUAGGCGGCUUGUCGCGUCUGCUGUGAAAGCCCGGGGCUCAACCCCGGGUCUGCAGUGGGUACGGGCAGGCUGGAGUGCAGUAGGGGAGACUGGAAUUCCUGGUGUAGCGGUGAAAUGCGCAGAUAUCAGGAGGAACACCGAUGGCGAAGGCAGGUCUCUGGGCUGUAACUGACGCUGAGGAGCGAAAGCAUGGGGAGCGAACAGGAUUAGAUACCCUGGUAGUCCAUGCCGUAAACGUUGGGCACUAGGUGUGGGGGCCAUUCCACGGUUUCCGCGCCGCAGCUAACGCAUUAAGUGCCCCGCCUGGGGAGUACGGCCGCAAGGCUAAAACUCAAAGGAAUUGACGGGGGCCCGCACAAGCGGCGGAGCAUGCGGAUUAAUUCGAUGCAACGCGAAGAACCUUACCAAGGCUUGACAUGUGCCGGACCGUCCCAGAGAUGGGGCUUCCCUUCGGGGCCGGUUCACAGGUGGUGCAUGGUUGUCGUCAGCUCGUGUCGUGAGAUGUUGGGUUAAGUCCCGCAACGAGCGCAACCCUCGUUCCAUGUUGCCAGCACGUAGUGGUGGGGACUCAUGGAGGACUGCCGGGGUCAAUUCGAAGGAAGGUGGGGACGACGUCAAAUCAUCUUGCCCCUUUAUGUCUUGGGCUUCACGCAUGCUACAAUGGCCGGUACAAAGGGUUGCGAUACUGUGAGGUGGAGCCAAUCCCAGAAAGCCGGUCUCAGUUCGGAUUGGGGUCUGCAACUCGACCCCAUGAAGUCGGAGUCGCUAGUAAUCGC
rnacentral:rRNA from 1 species